rnacentral:misc_RNA from 1 species
GAUGAAGAACGCAGCGAAAUGCGAUACGUAAUGUGAAUUGCAGAAUUCAGUGAAUCAUCGAAUCUUUGAACGCACAUUGCGCCCCUUGGUAUUCCGAGGGGCAUGCCCGUUCGAGCGUCAUUAUACCCCUCAAGCCUAGCUUGGUGUUGGGGCCUGCUGUUACCGGCAGCCCUUAAAAUCAGUGGCGGUGCCAUCUGGCUCUAAGCGUAGUAAUACUUCUCGCUACAGGGUCCCGGUGGAUGCUUGCCAUCAACCCCUAAUUUUCUAUGGUUGACCUCGGAUCGGGUAGGGAUACCCGCUGAACUUAAGCAUAUCAAUAAGCGGAGGA